UUAACACGUAAUUCAGUUCUCGGACUGCGAUGUGUAAAUUUUUAAUAAACUUUAAUUUUCCUCUCUCUCUUUCUCUCUAAAUACUAGACAAGUAUACCAUUGUACAAAUAUGACUGACUGUGCGAAGAUAUUUUACUACUUAAGGACGAACGACGAUUAACCUUUACUUGGAGUGAUAACUUGUCUAUUCUCACUUGAAAGCAUUGAAUUUCUCAAAUUCCAAUUACUAAUAUUAAAGUUGUUUUUUAUAUAUAUAAACUUUAUUGACAUAUUUUAAUUUGCCUCAAAAGCCAAGGCUUAUCAAGGAGGCUCACAUUAAAGUUCCACGUGAUCACAAUCCUUUUAUCUGAGUGCCCUUCAUCAAACGCAAACGAUGUUAAUAUGAUGUACUUGAUAUUUGUGGUGUUACUCUGAGUGUAUAUCCACACCGGGCGAGCUUAAAAAAUAUGCCCGGCCACGGUGAGAUUCGAACCUACGACCUUUGGAAUACUAGCCCAAUGCUCUUCCAACUGAGCUACGCGGUCAGCGUCCUGACCGCGUAGCUCAGUUGGAAGAGCAUUGGUUCAUUGGAGCAUUUGUUCGAGUAACUGAUAUUUCGGAACAAAAUCUAGUUCCUUCGAUACCAAUGUAUUCUAGUAAUAUGAAUUUUUUUCUGUGUUGGUGUAGUGUACUCAGGGGAAUAUGAUAUUUGUGGUGUUACUCUGAGUGUAUAUCCACACCGGGCGAGCUUAAAAAUGUACUUGCUUGCAAAAUGUACUUGCUUGCAAAAUUGUUUUUUUGUUGCAAUGCAUUUUUUUGGUUGUUUCUUUUUCAGGAUCCAUUCAGUUCAAAGUAUCCUGGUGAUGAGAAAUGGGUUGUAGGUAUGGAAUACCCCGGAUGGGGCCAGUUCCUUGUGGCCCUUGUUAUCCUACCUUCCACCCUGCCUAUUCUCAUCUUCAUAGUUUACAAUUGGCCGAAGAAUUGGAAAACGUCAUUCUACAAGACCUUCUUUAGUGGAAUAAAUAAUUAUCUUCCAGAUCCAAAGGCUGAAGAUUAGUUUUUUGACGCACAGUCUUUAUUAUUUACUAUAGUUAUAUUCGACAAAGCUUGACGCUUAAUUAACGUUAAGCUGUUACUGGACAAAGUCAAGAUAGCAAUUUAACGACAUGAUUCUCUUAAUUGAUAUCAUAAAGUAAUUUAUAACGCAUGUCUCGUACAGUAGAUUGUUAACGUUCAUUAAGAGUUUUACGUUUAGUAUCUAGGUGAAUAUUCACUGGGCCUUAGGCGAAUAAUUGUUUUAGUGCAAAUUUUUAAUGAAUAAAACAAAAUAUCCAAAUAUCAAUUUAAUUAAAAUUCAGAAAUAAAACUGCUUUCGGCCGGUUCACGGUUGGCUGUUUUAGUGUUGCACCAUUGUGUUGCACUGUUUCUUGUACCCACACCGUAUAGGCAUGCAGCCCAAAAAUGCGUGGUGAACAUUUUUAUCCUCGCGCGUGGCACUCUGCCCGGGCGUGUGUCGAGUCUACUUUGUUUAUUAUGAUGAUAGUACAAAGUAGACUUGAUACAGUCUACUUUAGGGUCAUUUCAGGCCACUCAUUUGAAGAGAUUCUUCGGUUUCAGAGGUCACGGAGGAAUGCAUGUAUACCAGAAGCAACAAGAAAGAAGUACAAUACACUAUAGGAAAUGCAUAUAUGACUGCAUUUUACUCUGUGGUAAGCCAUGUACUCUUAGUAGUAUAGAUGACAUAUUUGGACAACAUUACACAAACGAAGUGGGAGUCUGUCCAAGGCUAUUACAAU
rnacentral:tRNA from 1 species